rnacentral:rRNA from 1 species
AAUGAACGCUGGCGGUAGGCCUAACACAUGCAAGUCGAACGGCAGCACAGUAAGAGCUUGCUCUUACGGGUGGCGAGUGGCGGACGGGUGAGGAAUACAUCGGAAUCUACUUUUUCGUGGGGGAUAACGUAGGGAGAGUUACGCUCAUACCGCAUACGCCCCACGGGUGAAAGCAGUGGAUCUUCUGACCUUGCGCGAUUGAAUGAGCCGAUGUCGGAUUAGCUAGUUGGCGGGGUAAAGGCCCAGCAAGGCGACGAUCCGUAGCUGGACUGAGAGGAUGAUCAGCCACACUGGAACUUGGACACGGUCCAGACGACUACGGGAGGCAGCAGUGGGGAAUAUUGGGCAAUGGGCGCAAGCCUGAUCCAGCCAUACCGAGUGUGUGAAGAAGGCCUUCGGGUUGUAAAGCCCUUUUGUUGGGAAAGAAAAGCAGCAGGCUAAUACCCCGCUGUUCUGACGGUACCCAAAGAAUAAGCACCGGCUAACUUCGUG